GUGAACAAUGUAAAUAAUCAAACCCUAUAUGUAUCCUACUCUAAAGUAUCCUCACUAUUCUGUUCUGUUCACAGCAGUCCACCAGCCUGAUGCAUUGGGGACCAUAGAGUGAACCAAGAUGCCUAAGAUCAGCACGGAGCAGUCUUAUCCCAGCCACGGCCGCUGUUCGGUAAACACCCCCGACAACCUGGACCAGAUUGAGAGUGGCAGCAGCCAUGAGGACCAACUGGACCCCUCCUUCACGGGGACAGGAGGCAUGUCCAGGCUGUCUCGCUUCAUGGUGUUGGUGAAGGGCUGGUCAUCUCACAGUAGUCAGCCCUCAGAUGCCCUUCCUUUAGACUCAACCAUGAAGUCACACACAGAGUUCAGAGAGGCCUGGAGGGCAGAGAGCAUGUCCAACACCAGACUCUCUGACCAAGUCCGCAGGAGGAAGAAGUGAGUCCCUGUGUGUGUGUGGUGUGUGUGGUGUGUGUGUGUGGUGUGUGUGUGUGUGUGUGUGUGUGUGUGUGUGUGGUGUGUGUGUGGUGUUUUGCUCAAUUUCUCUUCCUCAUGUUGCAAUUAUAUGACUUAGAAAUGAAUAGCUGCUUAGAUUUGAAGCUAACACGUGUAUUUCAUAUUUGUUCAAGCAAUGGUCAAUGGCCCCUUGCAGCAUACAAUAUGAACAACUGCAACAACAAGGAUGAGUAAGUGGACCAACUAACAUUCAGAUAGUAUUCCGACCCCUUGACUUUUCCACAUUUUGUUACGUUAAAACUUUAUUCUAAAAUUAAUGUCGUUUUUUCCCCCUCAUCAAUUCACACAAUACCCCAUAAUGACAAGGCAAAAACAGGUUUUUAUAACAAAAGAAAUUGAAAUAUAACAUUUACAUAAUUAUUCAGAACCUUUCAUUUACUAUGUAGGUAGUAACUAAUCUAAUCAAAUCAAAUGUUAUUGGUCACACACAUAUUAGCAGAUGUUAUUGCGGGUGUAAAUAAAUAGCUGUAUAUGGUUUUGUUCCCCCUGUCACUCUCCAAAGUAUUUGUGUUACAUAAUGUGAUCAGACACAUAGUUUUUGUGUUUUUAUAAAUGUCAUACUGGAGCACAAAGAAUGACAAAUUACAAAGAAAUAUCAGGAGAAAGCCAAGAGACCUGUCACUACUCUUUUGACCUGACAGUAGCAUGCUGCCCCCCUCUGGUCUUGAUAAAUCAUUGCACAUAGUUUCAUGCAAUGGAAAAUCUAAUUGAAACCAAAUAACACCCUCCAUGAACAUUACAAUCCAAUAUCACCAAACAAAUCUGUAAGAGUGACGUUAGUUCAGUUGAUUAGCCUGAUCCACCAUCCAGACUGCUGAGCUUUUGUUUCUUUUCACUUCGUAUCAGUGGAGGCUGGUGGGAGGAGCUAUAGGAGGACGGGCUCAUUUUAAUGGCUGGUAGGGAAUAAAUGGAACGGUAUCAAACACUUCAAACAUAUGGAAACCACAUGUUUAACUCCAUUCCAUUCCAGCCAUUACAAUGAGCACGUCCACUCCUCCCACCAGCCUCCGCUGCUUCAUAUAGAAAAACAGAGUUAGCUUGCSAGAUCAGGAUGGUGAAACGAGGCUUGGUUGAGUACACCUGCUGUAGAUAAUCCUCUUAUUUUCCCCUUGUAUAAUAGUGUGCUGUGCUGUAGUUAGUAUCUGCUUCAUUGAGAUUGAUAAAACGAUAUGUGGAAAAAUAAUGUGUUCAGCAAAAAAGACGAGAAGAAGGAUGAGAAGAAACCGGAUCCCCCGAAGCCACCUGAUAAGAAACCGGAUGAGAAGAAGCCUGAUCCCCCGUAAGUAUAUUCAGAUUCUAUGGUUAUAUGGAAGUCWWAUARGUARAAACAAAAAAAAUGGAUUAUAAGUUAACAGGAAAAAGCUUUGUAUUUUAUGUUUAUUUCAGUAAAGAAGUGUGGAUCAUUGACCCRGCCACAGAUAUGUACUACCAAUGGCUGACAAUAGUAGCUGUCCCAGCAUUCUACAACUUAAUGCUUCUGGUGCCAAGGUGUGUGCUGUUUUAGAAUUCCAGUUUUAGAGUUUCCCAAGAUAUUGUUGAGUAAUUGUGAAUGAUCAAUACUCUUGUGUUUCUGCUUAUCUCCCAGAGCUAGUUUCAAUGACCUGCAGGCCAACUAUGUAAUGCUGUGGAUGGUUCURGACUACACUUCAGAUGUCAUCUAUUACAUUGACACGUUUGUGAGAUCUAGGACAGGUAAAACCAUUCUUGUUUAGGGUWGUUGAAAUKAUUUCUACAUAACAUAGCCUUGUUCAARAAUUCYGU
ensembl:lncRNA